rnacentral:miRNA from 1 species
AAUUUUCAAUCCAGGGCUGAGUUCAACCCCGGGGUUGAAAUUUCAAUCCUGCUACAAACCCGGGGUUGAACUCAGCCUUGGGUUGAAAA